AGAAAGUUAGUCUAACUAAGAAGACAGCUGGUUUCGGCCCAGCAGAUUACGGCCAACCCCGUAACUUUCUU
rnacentral:tRNA from 1 species